GACGAACGCUGGCGGCGUGCCUAACACAUGCAAGUCGAGCGAGUGAAUCUCCUUCGGGAGUGAAGCUAGCGGCGGACGGGUGAGUAACACGUGGGCAACCUGCCUCAUAGAGGGGAAUAGCCUUUCGAAAGGAAGAUUAAUACCGCAUAAGAUUGUAGCUUCGCAUGAAGUAGCAAUUAAAGGAGCAAUCCGCUAUGAGAUGGGCCCGCGGCGCAUUAGCUAGUUGGUGAGGUAACGGCUCACCAAGGCGACGAUGCGUAGCCGACCUGAGAGGGUGAUCGGCCACAUUGGGACUGAGACACGGCCCAGACUCCUACGGGAGGCAGCAGUGGGGAAUAUUGCACAAUGGGGGAAACCCUGAUGCAGCAACGCCGCGUGAGUGAUGACGGCCUUCGGAUUGUAAACUACCUGUUGUUGUAGGAAGGAUAAUGACGGUACUCACAAGGAAGUAGACGGCUAACUAACGUGCCAGCAG
rnacentral:rRNA from 1 species